rnacentral:rRNA from 1 species
GAGUCAUUGGGACUCUGAUAAACCUAAAGGCGCAAUGAAAGUAAAGGUCAGCCUCGCGCAGACCGAGGGAGGAUGGGCCCGUUCACGGACGGGCCUCGCACUCCCGGGGCGUCUCGUUCUCAUCGCGAGAGGAGGCGCACCCAGAGCGUAUACGCUGGGACCCGAAAGAUGGUGAACUAUGCCUGGUCAGGACGAAGUCAGGGGAAACCCUGAUGGAGGUCCGUAGCGAUUCUGACGUGCAAAUCGAUCGUCGGAACUGGGUAUAGGGGCGAAAGACUAAUCGAACCUUCUAGUAGCUGGUUCCCUCCGAAGUUUCCCUCAGGAUAGCUGGCGCUCGCCUUUGCGAGUCUCAUUCGGUAAAGCGAAUGAUUAGAGGCAUUGGGGUCGAAACGGCCUCAACCUAUUCUCAAACUUUAAAUGGGUGAGAUCUCCGGCUUGCUUAAAGCAUGAAGCCGCGAGAUAUCGGAUCAGAGUGCCAAGUGGGCCACUUUUGGUAAGCAGAACUGGCGCUGUGGGAUGAACCAAACGCAGAGUUAAAGCGCCAAAAUCGACGCUUAUGGGAUACCAUGAAAGGCGUUGGUAA